rnacentral:rRNA from 1 species
AACGAACGCUGGCGGCAUGCCUAACACAUGCAAGUCGAACGAGACCUUCGGGUCUAGUGGCGCACGGGUGCGUAACGCGUGGGAACCUGCCCUUAGGUUCGGAAUAACUCCCCGAAAGGGGUGCUAAUACCGGAUAAUGUCUUCGGACCAAAGAUUUAUCGCCUUUGGAUGGGCCCGCGUUGGAUUAGCUAGUUGGUAGGGUAAAAGCCUACCAAGGCGACGAUCCAUAGCUGGUCUGAGAGGAUGAUCAGCCACACUGGGACUGAGACACGGCCCAGACUCCUACGGGAGGCAGCAGUGGGGAAUAUUGGACAAUGGGCGAAAGCCUGAUCCAGCAAUGCCGCGGGAGUGAUGAAGGCCUUAGGGUGGUAAAGCUCUUUUACCCGGGAUGAUAAUGACAGUACCGGGAGAAUAAGCUCCGGCUAACUCCGU